rnacentral:rRNA from 1 species
AACGAACGCUGGCGGCAUGCCUAACACAUGCAAGUCGAACGAGACCUUCGGGUCUAGUGGCGCACGGGUGCGUAACGCGUGGGAACCUGCCCUUAGGUUCGGAAUAACUCCCCGAAAGGUGUGCUAAUACCGGAUAAUGUCUUCGGACCAAAGAUUUAUCGCCGUUGGAUGGGCCCGCGUUGGAUUAGCUAGUUGGUAGGGUAAAAGCCUACCAAGGCGACGAUCCAUAGCUGGUCUGAGAGGAUGAUCAGCCACACUGGGAGUGAGACACGGCCCAGACUCCUACGGGAGGAAGCAGUGGGGAAUAUUGGACAAUGGGAGAAAGCCUGAUCAAGCAAUGCCGCGUGAGUGAUGAAGGCCUUAGGGUUGUAAAGCUCUUUUACCAGGGAUGAUAAUGACAGUACCGGGAGAAUAAGCUCCGGCUAAAUCCGUG